AUGUAAGAAGGGAGAACAGCAUUUCUAAUGCAUGUCUCAGACUACCAGUGCAUGUAAAGGACAUGUAACUCGAACUUGUCUAUUUAUAUAUAGGGCAUCUCGUAUUGAAAUCCAUACAUUAACAGCAGUAUGUGAGUGAGACCGAUAGGGAUGUUUUAGCAAAUUAAUGGGAAUGUUGUUAUAUUAUUGAAUUUGACAAAUUAGAGGGAAACAAGACAAAUGUUUGAUUAUACAAUGUGACUGCUUUUUAUUGAUUGAUAGGAUGUUUGUGUUGAUUAUUUAUAACGAUGAUGGGGCUUGGAUCACCAUCAUAUAUCUAUAGUUCUAUGUGCUUGGGAUUUGCUCGACUAUCACCAAAUGAGUGUAUAUUGUGAUAGAUCUGACCAUAUGCUUCAAAGGUGAGUGUAUAUUGUGAUCGAUCUGACCAUAUAUGCUCCGAAGGUGUAAGUACCAGUGUUUUGGACGUUGAUCGUGUCUCCGUCUAGUGGAAUCAUUGCUCCAAAGCCUCAUGAAUUGACUUGUCUCUGUUUUGGCUAGUUGGUCUUUCCCUUUUUGCAACAUAAGUCUUCUAACUCAUACACUAUUUUUUUUAAUUGCAAAAUGUGAAAUUUUCUACAGUUUUGUUUUGGCUAGUUUGGUCUUUCCCUUUUUGCAACAUAAGCCUAGACUCAUACACUAUUUUUUUUCAUUGCAAAAAUGUGAAAUUUUCUACAGUUUUCAGCAUGUGAGUCUUUCUUUGGUAUGUUGCUAUAGACGAUCUCAUACUGGUAGAUGUUUGAAUCCUCAGUGGUUGUUUCCUCGUCGUUUAUGAUUUCAAUUUCCUAUGUCCCACUUUGUUUUAAGUUAUAGAAAUAAAAUUCAGCAAAGUGUACUAAUAAUAUAGUCUGCAAAUAUAUUUUUUUAUUUAGCAUACCUUGAGCAAAGAACAUAUAUUCAUCCUAGUUGGUGUCUUGUUCAAACAUCACUCCAUCAUUGUCUGCAAAGUAAUGUUUUGUAUUUAUAUUAGUUCUUCUAUUUCAUAAGAUCGAGCAUAAAUAAUAACUUGAUAAACUUACCAUGAUCUCCACUAUAGGCUAAUCCUGGUGCAUUUUGUCUUUGGUGGCUGGACACAUUAUAUUGAAGAGGGAUUGGUUGUUCAAGAAACAUGGCUUCUUGAUGUUGUAGAUGUACCAUGUCAUUGUCCCCAUCUUUCAUUUUGGAUGUGUCCUCUUCUGAUGAUAUUGUAACAUUUGUCAUCUAUCUCGAUGUAAAUUCUUCAUUUUGAGGGUCUAGCUCUUGCGGUGUUUGUUAGAUGUCCUAACUUCUAGUUUUGUUUCGAUAUAUACAGGGUUCUCCAUAGCGAUUGAAUCUUUGGUUUUUGUGCUGCGCUUCAGUUAUUUGUUAUAUAUAAUUUGUUCUAUUCUAGAUUUCUUUUUUCUGGAUGCAUCUUUUGUUUUUUUUUCUCUUUUGUUUUUUCUGUUUUUCUGCAUAUUUCUUGUUUCCUUCAACACUUUUUGGGGUCUGUGUUGAAUCCUUCAACACUUUUAGGCAUUAUGGCAUCUUUUUAAUUUUUCUUGCUUUUUCUCCAUCUGUCAUCCUUGGCAGCCUGCACAGGACUUUCUGUGCAAAAUGAAUUAUCUGCAUGAGAGUUAUGUAAUGUGUGAAUCUACUGUUAAUCUACUGUACUAACCUAGAUUCAUAUCUUCUUGUUCUUGUUCAUCCACAGCAUCAAUGUGUAAGUCAAAAGGAAAUAUAGGUUUUGUUGGCCAUGUUUCUCCGUGCCAUCUCGUGUAUGUACAUCGUUUUUAUUUAGAGUCCAAACAAAAAUCCAACCAAUUAUUCUCCCUUCUAGUACCGGAUCCUCUGUGGCCACACCUCUGCAUGCCAGCGGAAGCGUGAGCGAGGCGGCGCGCGAGGCCAUUGCGUCUGUGCGAGCUCUCCACGGUGGCUCCUAGGCAACGGCUGCGCUCUCCACGCAAGGCUCUGCGGCAGGGCUCUCCAUGCCAGCACGCGAGCUCCCGCCGGCAAAUUCACCGGCAAGGCGACUGCGGGAGGCUCUUACGGGAAGGGAUGGCGGUUUUGCGAGCGAUACUUGCCUUGCCAACUAAGGCGACCUAAAACUAUUGUCUGACCGAAGCAAAGAAAACUAUUUUUAGCACAUAUAUUUUAUUAUAAUAGACAGUGCUUUUUCUCACGCUUUGUUUAGUUUGUAAAAAGAAAAGUUUUUGGAUAUGUUGUAUAUUUGUAACUAUAGAAAUUAGUGACUAAUCAUGUACUAAUUAAGCUUAAAGGUUCGUCUCGUAAAAUAUAUGCAAACUAUAUAAUUAAUUAUUUUUUAAAUUGAUAUUUAAUGCUUCAU
rnacentral:lncRNA from 1 species